rnacentral:piRNA from 1 species
UAGAAGCAACAGAGUCUUGAGCACCCAGC